AUACAAAUAGAAAACAGGCAAAGUAAAUUAUAUGUAGCCAUUGUUGGUCUCCUGGACCUCCUAAUGCCUUGAACUCACUUGGAAUUUCUAGUAAGGGGAAUAGAGCUCUUCCUUACACAGCCACACACACUCAGGCUCACGGUCAUCAAUGCACAGGGAUUUUCCCUGCACGCACUGCCUGUGAACAAAAAGCAACAGCCCUGAGACGUGCCUUCCAUAACUUCCCUAACCCUCUGCUUUCUGCCUCCUUCCAUCUACUGCCUGGAGACCUUGGGGGAGCCCUGGUCGUGAGGAGAGAGAAGGAUGGGUCAGUUCUCACUCCUAUAUCUAUGUGACUACAUCCAUUCCCAGCUUCUUCAUCUGGAAGUUGAAAGCGAUGGGCUUUUGAGUCUUUUUGUGUCUAACAUCAUCUAAUUCAGUAGUUGUUCAUUUCCCACAUCUGGUCCUUUUUUCCUACCUCCUUAUGAAAAAAAUCCAAGGGAUCUUUCAUUUUUAUCUAAUAAUCAAAAUUUACAUAAUAUUUAUUACCAAUCCUCCACCCCGCCCUCAACUCUGUCUCCCUUCCAGCUUAUCAUUUACCAAAAAGGGGAUUGGGAAUUUCGGUGAAACAAAUCAAGGCUAUUCAGGGUUUAAGAGGGAGAUUAACUUGAAUGAGCCAAUUUGCUAAAACAAUUAACUUCUUAAAACCCCAAACCAGAGAGAUACUCACAGCCCUUUACUCUGUGGCUUAGAAAAGAAGGGAAAGUCUGUGCAGUGAAGGACUAUGAUCCUAGGAACUCCCUCCUGCUCCUGGGGUGUCCACAUGAUCUCAGGAAAGUGACUUCUGGCAAUAGGCCUGUGUUUCCCAUUCACUGAUAAAUAUAUAUAUUUUAAAAUGUUGAGUGGUUCCAUCAAGCUGUGGCUGAGUAGACCUUGAUCUUUCUAAAUUCUGUCAGUGUGUUAUGGAUUGAUUGCAUGCUGGCUAUAAAAAUAGGAUAAAUAUUUUACCAUGCUAUUAAAGUUUGGACCAUUAUCAAACAUAUGCACACACAUACACACUCAUUUUGUUGUUUAAAAAUUCAUCCGCUUUCAUCCUCGCAGGAGUGCUCCGGGGACUGCAGGCACUCAGAGGCUGAAUUUAGCCUGAAUGUCCUGGUCCUCAGAAGGAUGUUGGUUGGAGCAACUAGGGUGACCGAUAGCCUGCAUCAGAAAGGGCAGGAUGACAUGUCAUUCUGUGCCUGGGGAAAAUUGGCCCAGCAUUUGUACUGUGCCCAUUUGAAAAAAUGCUCAUUCCAGCUUUCACAUGUAAUUAUUUCAGCCUGUAAGAAUGAUGCCAUAACCCCACCCUGGGCCAGCAAAAUGCCAAAUACCUCUUCUGGUCCAGAAUAGCACAAAGGAAGAGCCUUUCACUCAGCACCACCUCCUCCAGGUGCACUAUAGACUUCCCCUAUUGUUUAGGAUUAUUGACUGGAAUUCAAGAUGAAAAGCAAACUCCAUUUGAUGAGCCAUGCAUCUACUGGACCUGAAUGGGUUUUCAAAAACACCCUAGCUUUUUACGGCCCUGGGCCUCGGCCUUCUCAUCUGAUUCAACAGCAAGGAAAAUGAAUUUGCCACAAUUGACAGUAAGUGUCCCUGGCACUGGAGCCUGUAAUAGCAUCUCCAGGGAAAUGCUGGAAUUCAAGCCAGUCAGGGACCUCCAUCAGUGGGGACAGAGGCUUCUGAAGGUCACAGCCUGAUGGGCUUCUCUGCAGGUGUCUAGCCUCCUGCUCCCCAAGGAGGGGGGCUGUAACGUGGAUGCCCCCUUCCUGAGCUCUGCCCACAAUCAUCCAGUGCUUUUCCACCUUGGCUUGUGGUUUUGUGUUUGCUAGAAGGUAUCAGGAAUUCACGUUCAUUGUUCAAGGAAAGUUUCUAAAGUCAGUUGUCUUUCAUUCAUGCCCAUGAAUACUGCCUCGCCCGUUUAGUUGAUCAUCCAAGAAAAAAAAAAA
rnacentral:lncRNA from 1 species